rnacentral:rRNA from 1 species
UACGUAGGGUGCGAGCGUUGUCCGGAAUUAUUGGGCGUAAAGAGCUCGUAGGCGGUCUGUCGCGUCGGUCGUGAAAACUUGGGGCUUAACCCUGAGCUUGCGGUCGAUACGGGCAUGACUGGAGUUCGGCAGGGGAGACUGGAAUUCUUGGUGUAGCGGUGAAAUGCGUAGAUAUCAAGAGGAACACCUGAGGUGAAGACGGGUUGCUGGGCUGACACUGACGCUGAGGCGCGAAAGCCAGGGGAGCAAACGGG